CUUGACCGAGCCGAGCAGCAGCGGCCGGUCGGCGGGUCGGUCCUGGCCGUACGUGGCCAGCAGCGCCUGCGCCUC
rnacentral:antisense_RNA from 1 species